rnacentral:rRNA from 1 species
UACGUAGGGGGCAAGCGUUGUCCGGAAUGACUGGGCGUAAAGGGCGUGUAGACGGCCAUUUAAGUUAGGAGUGAAAGUCCUGCUUUCAAGGUGGGAAUUGCUUUUAAUACUGGAUGGCUUGAGUGCGGAAGAGGCAAGUGGAAUUCCCAGUGUAGCGGUGAAAUGCGUAGAGAUUGGGAGGAACACCAGUGGCGAAGGCGACUUGCUGGGCCGCAACUGACGCUGAGGCGCGAAAGCGUGGGGAGCGAACAGG